UGCUUCCUUUCAGAGGGU
rnacentral:miRNA from 4 species